CUCACCACAAAAAGUUUUUACAUUGAAAGAUUUGUCUGUGUAUUAUGUGAUGAUGAGCCUAAUGAGUACAUGAAACAUCUUUUCUUUUCAUGUGACUUCAGUCAAAAUUUUUGGUUAUCAAUUGGUUUUCAAUGGAACACUGAUUUGAGCUAAAAUGAGAUGCUUAUUGAGGCAAGAAACAGAACUCAGAUUCAGCCCUUUAAAGAAUGCCUAAUUGCUGGUUGUUGGACCAUCUGGAAACAUAGAAAUGGCAUCAUAUUUGACAACAAAGGAAGGGAUUUAAGCUACUGUAUCUCCUGCUUCAAGGACCAUUUUGGCACCAUCAUCAAAAGAGUCAGACCUAGUUUAAAGGAGGGAAUGCAAAACUGGUUGGAUUAUUUGUAA
rnacentral:rRNA from 1 species